CUAGUUGCAUAGAACUCUGAAGACAUUUCUUUGAAUUAAGGAAAAUAGAAACGCCACACAGUUCAUUUUUGGAUAUCAAGGGUUUCACAUAUCGAAGCAGAAAACAUUGAGAAAUUUGCCCUAAAUUCAAGGUUAAAAGGAGCUUUUUCCAUUGCCCUGCUUUCAGCCAGAUUAUAUGUAUGAAAUAGUUCUUGGCAGGUUAGAAUAGAGGAAUUAUUGAAAACCUAAAAGAAAGAAGCCACACGUUUUAAUAUGAAAAUUUAGUACUUUCAAGAUGUAUUACCUUGUCACAUUGUUUAGAGAGUUUGACCAAAAAAUACAGAAGAGAUUUUUAAUUUGUAAUAAACUAGAAUUGGUAUGGUCAGUAUAUUUUCUCCAUAUUGGUAAAUAUUUCAGGUAUAUUGCUGUCAUUAAAAAGGCAAUGUUCAUAGUAUGAAAUUCUUUGAGCUAAACUUAAGUCUCAUUAGUAAUAAUUAUUUAUUGCAGAGGGAAGCUUAUCUAACACAUGGAAUGAAAAGUACAGUUCUUUACAAAAAACACCUGUUUGGAAAGGCAGGAAUACAGCCUCUGCUGUGGAAAUGCCUUUUAGAAAUUCAAAACGAAGUCGACUCUUUUCUGAUGAAGAUGACAGACAAAUAAAUACGAGGUCACCAAAAAGAAACCAGAGAGUUGCCAUGGUUCCACAGUGUUAUAAGAUUUUCCAGUAGGAUGGAUCAUAAUAGAGGUGAUUUUCUCAACCAAGGAUUUGGCCUCAAAUAAAUUAAAGGUAUGACUAGCAAUAUGCCCUACCGA